GGGCGCCAACUGUUUGAUCGGAAAACGGUAAUAAAAGGAUGUGGGUUUAACAAAGACGUUUUAUUAUGGUCGGAAGAGACGUUCAGUCGGUUACAAGAGAAGUAAAGAGAAUGCGACAGAAGAGAAGCCGGCAACUCGAUGAGCUACCGGAAAAGUACAGAUAACGGCAAGAUGAAGCAAAGGUGAAAACCCUAAUCUAGCCGCCAGGUGUUAGUCAGAUGAUUUCGGAUCCCCUUCUCGUUUCUCUUCCUUCUCCUUAUAUAGUCCUCUGAUGUGUCGUUCUUGACCUAGCUUAAGUCGUCUUGGUGGGCCUUCUUUAUUGGGCCGUGAGGCCCGCAUUCGUCCGAGCGGUCGCUGAGCUGUGUGCCUCUUAGUCGGCGUUGCUCGACUCGAGAUACUGUAGAGGCAAGCCGAGUAAUCAACCGGUUUAAGCCGACUAUUCGAGCCAUCGCUUUCCUUGGUCUGGGCCAGGCCUUCUAUUCCUUCGGCCUUGUGGGAUGAUUAAAUCCAUCCUCUACAGAGGGCAAGUCUGGUGCCAGCAGCCGCGGUAAUUCCAGCUCCAAUAGCGUAUAUUUAAGUUGUUCUAGUUAAAAAGCUCGUAGUUGAACCUUGGGAUGGGUCGCCCGGUCCGCCUUCGGUGAGCACCGGUCGGCUUGUCUCUUCUGUCGGCGAUACUCUCCUGGCCUUAACUGGCCGGGUCGUGCCUCCGGCGCUGUUACUUUGAAGAAAUUAGAGUGCUCAAAGCAAGCCUACGCUCUGUAUACAUUAGCAUGGGAUAACAUCAUAGGAUUUCGAUCCUAUUGUGUUGGCCAUAGGGAUCGGAGUAAUGAUUAACGAGGGACAGUCGGGGCAUUCGUAUUUCAUAGUCGAGGUGAAAUUCUUGGAUUUAUGAAAGACGAACAACUUCGAAAAGCAUUUGCCAAGGAUGUUUUCAUUAAUCAAGAACGAAAGUUGGGGGCUCGAAGACGAUCAGAUACCGUCCCUAGUCUCAACCAUAAACGAUGCCGACCAGGGAUCAGCGGAUGUUUCUUUUAGGACUCGCUGGCACCUUAUGAGAAAUCAAAGUUUUUUUGGGUUCCGGGGAGUAUGGUCGCAAGGCUGAAACUUAAAGGAAUUGUGGAAGGGCACCACCAGGAGUGGAGCCUGCGGCUUAAUUUGACUCAACACGGGGAAACUUACCAGGUCCGGACAUAGUAAGGAUUGAUGACUGAGAGCUCUUUCUUGAUUCUAUGGGUGGUGGUGCAUGGCGUUCUUAGUUGGUGGAGCGAUUUGUCUGGUUAAUUCCGUUAACGAACGCAGAGACCUUAGCAGGCUGGCUUCUUAGAGGGACUAUGGCCAUUUAGGCCAAGGAAGUUUGAGGCAAUAACAGGUCUGUGAUGCCCUUAGAUGUUUCGGGCGACGACGCUACACUGAUGUAUUCAACGAGUUCACACCUUGGCCGACAGGCCGGGUAAUCUUUGAAAUUUCAUCGUGAUGGGGAUAGAUCAUUGCAAUUGUUGGUCUUCAACGAGGAAUUCCUAGUAAAGCGCGAGUCAUCAGCUCGCGUUGACUACGCCCCUACCCUUUGUACACACCGCCCGCCGCUCCUACCGAUUGAAUGAUCCGGUGAAGUGUUCGGAUCGCGGCGGCGUGGGUGGUUCGCCGUCUCGCGACGUCGCGAGAAGUCCACUAAACCUUAUCAUUUAGAGGAAGGAGAAGUCGUAACAAGGUUUCCGUAGGUGAACCUGCGGAAG
rnacentral:rRNA from 1 species